GCCUGAUAAGGUUGCACAGUCUCACCUUGUAAAAGUAAACAUUCUCAGUUAUAAAUACGGAGUUACCUUGCAAUAAAAUUCAAUAUUUCACGUGGAGAGUCAAGAUGAUCUUGUUUAUCUUUGCCAUUUUGACAAUCAUAAUUACAUUACAGGUUAGCCAGACUUCAGUUAUACCUGAUCAACAAAAUCCUCAAGAGUUACAUCUAAAGAAUGCAACCAUUAAAGAAUUUCCAAGUUCUGUAAG